UACAGAUGCUCAUUGGUAGCUGAAGAAAUAGAGCAGACUAACCAGGGAGAUGAGGAAAACAUUCAAACUAAAAAUACAAACCUAGUUGAUGCAAUCUCUCCUCAUUUGACAGUCCUGCUAUUCCGGAGCUCAGUCUAGUGAGCUUUUGUUGUACUCCCUCAACGUGGAAGAUAUCUGCAGUAUGUCGGACAUUCAAGGGUGUCAGGGAAGUGAAGUAUGUGCCGUGAAAAUUACGACUGAGAAGGUGCUCAGGAAGCUUAAUGGUCUGAGAUUGGAUAAAUCUCCUGGAUCUGAUGAAAUGCACCACUGGGUUCUGAAGGAAGUAGCUGGAAAGAUUGCACAGUCCAGGGUUGUAUAUGGUGACAUUUGCAGUGUGUACUUUGAUAAUAAAUUUGCUUUGAACUUUGAACCUUCUGGAAUAAA